GAGCAACUUAGGAUUUUAGGCUCCGCCUGGUUUUCAGGCGCAAACCCACCCAAGCCUGGCGGUCUUGGGCGCGGUCAAAAUCUAUCCGCCGGAG
rnacentral:ncRNA from 17 species